rnacentral:rRNA from 1 species
AUUGAACGCUGGCGGAAUGCCUUACACAUGCAAGUCGAACGGCAGCACGGACUUCGGUCUGGUGGCGAGUGGCGAACGGGUGAGUAAUACAUCGGAACGUGCCCAGUCGUGGGGGAUAACGUAGCGAAAGCUACGCUAAUACCGCAUACGAUCUACGGAUGAAAGCGGGGGAUCGCAAGACCUCGCGCGAUUGGAGCGGCCGAUGGCAGAUUAGGUAGUUGGUAGGGUAAAGGCCUACCAAGCCGACGAUCUGUAGCUGGUCUGAGAGGAUGAUCAGCCACACUGGGCCUGAGACACGGCCCAGUCUCCUACGGGAGGCAGCAGUGGGGAAUUUUGGACAAGGGGCGCAAGCCUGAUCCAGCCAUUCCGCGUGCAGGAUGAAGGCCUUCGGGUUGUAAACUGCUUUUGUACAGAACGAAAAGGCUCUGGUUAAUACCUGGGGCUCAUGACGGUACUGUAAGAAUAAGCACCGGCUAACUACGUGCCAGCAGCCGCAGUAA